GCUUCGAGGACGACUUCAAAAAAACCUAGAGUUGAAUCUAUAACAAAAGAUUCCACAAGGUAUUAUUAUUAUUAUAUAAUGAAUACAUUUGCUGUCUUAAAAGAAAUACUGUCUUUAAAAGCAUGUUGAUGACUGGAAAACAAAUUUCACCACUUGACCUACAAUUUUAAAUGCGUGAGAACGACACCUCAACCACUGUGAAGGCUGGUUAACAUGUCUGGACAGAGACCUGUGACAACGGUGACUGGGAGGAAAUGAGAUGCUGCAACUUUACAACUUCCGCAGGUCAUGUGAUCAGGACAGGGCAGGAUGCCACGGGAAGCAUGUAUGACUCCGAAAAACAGCAAUCGGAGGAAAGCUGAAACAAUGACCUCAGAGAUCCUGGAUAAGAUCAAGGAGCGCAAACAGUCAGGGCUUAGUGUUUACUAUCCUGGGACCAUCCCUAGAUGGAAAUCAUAGUCUUUUCUACAGCCAAACCUCACAUAUCCAGACGGUGAAGGAAGACUAAAUAGAAGGUAAUUUGGGACCAACAUCUACUACUGUUAACACAAAGGACACCCACAGGGAGAAGGUUAGUCUAAACUCCAGGACGGGUUCUGUCUUGUCUUGUGGGUUUCAAAAGCUCUCUUGUUUUUAAAUACUCAAUCCGGUGUCCACAAUCUGAUGCAAGCAUAACCCCAGGCAAGCAUGCAUAUACUUUGGUUCAAAUCUCUUCAUCGAAAAAUAAACCUUGGAUUGAGACGGACUGCUUGUUAACAUGACCUCUAUAAACAACAAGUUGAUUUAAACUCUGUAGGCUGGACUUACAAUGGGGUCAUGAUUGGACUGAAAGCGAGUGGAAGGAAAGAGAUAAGACAUGAAUUGUGGGAACUAACCUGACUCCAAAACCAUUUAGUACAUUUCGUACUAGUAAUUUGUGCACCUUUAGCUCAAUUUAUAAUUUAAAUCUCUGGCAUCUUUUGCAUCUCACUUUUGACUUUGUGGUUAAAAGUAAAGUUUUACAGUAUAUUUUUGCCUACUCUGAUGAAUGUUAUUGUGUUGUGGGUUGUUGCACAACAUUGUUAAGUGGUUGGAAAAGUGUUUGCCGUGAGUUUUAGCAUGUUGCUACAUGGGAUGUUCUGACUGGAUGUUAUGAUAUUAUGGUUCUUAUGGCUCAGGU